UGAAGCCUGAACUCGAGUAGGGCCCAAGCAAGCCAGGAAGGAGGAGGCAGCCAGAGUGUUCUCUGCAGCAGAAGACCCCUUGCUGCCCUGCUUAACCCAGACCAGCAUUUGCCAGUUCAUUUCCUGUUAAGCCUGCUAACUCAGCCAUCAAGUCGAUUUUGACUCCUGGUGCCCACAUAAUUUGGUGCCUACGCUUUGGUAUGCAGAUCAACACCCUGGAUAGCUCAUUCCUAUGCAUACUUACUCAGAAAGGCAGAUGCUGUGUUGAUAUGGAACACAUCCAAAGAAACCCUGCAGAAUGUAUGUUUUUUAACCCAGAUCACCAAAGCACAUUCAUCACACCCUGCUUGUUCAUCCACAAUGAAAAGAGACAAGUGGAAUGCUUAUUUUCCAGUGAACCUCCCCUUCUCCCAGAGUUUGAAAUAAAUAUUUCAGUUAAAUAGUUGA